rnacentral:misc_RNA from 1 species
GUAUAGUUUUCUUUCGUUACGUUUUCAAGGCAACGAAAUGGGUUUACAUUCUAUUAGACAUUCGGAUUAUAUGAUAAUACAUAAGCCCGAGGGCCUACGGUGGGUUCACAGGUGUGUUGUGGAUUUGGGCGUGCACGCGCCCCGAGAGGCCAGCAGACAACCCUUUAUUUUCGAUAAUGAUCCUUCCGCAGGUUCACCUACGGAAA